UCAGGUUGUAUUCAUACACCCGCCAUCUCUGGCAGCCUCUUGGGAACUGAGUCCUGAUUGUGAUUCAUGUCGUUCUCUGCUGUGGAUAUGGAUUUGCAAGGAAAAAUAUCUCCUUUAAUCCCGUCUUAGAAAGGACCGAGAAGACAAAAGAACCGGAAUCGGCCGCAGUUGUUUCCAGUUAUGGUCUCCAUCUAGGUUCAACGUGACUAUUAUCAUUGAAUGGGUUCCAUGAAAGGUUGAUACUGGAUUUAUGUCUUUGUUCAUUUACAUUUCUUCAAUGGUUUGGCUGACCUACUCGUGCCACGCCCUGGGGAUAUCCUCACGCGGCCGCUCAGAACAUAUUCCGUUCUUCGCUCAUGACAGGACGGAACGCUUUUUAAAAAAUGAUGAGAGAAGAAAAAGAAUGGUAAUUUACUUGUCAGGAACAGGCAGAACUGGUAAUUCGGUCUUGCGGAGCGCGAUUCACCCCCUUCUUGGAGGGUCUGCUCAGUGAGCUCAGCUCGAGUAAUUUCGGAGUACAUGAUGAGGAGCUGGCGGAGCAGCCGAGCCCUUCCUGAAUUCUUUAAAUAACGGGGGAACGCAGGUUCAUUUCAGCUCAAGGAUACAAAGCAUUGUGUAAUAAAGACAAUGUUAAAUGAGAGAACAUUUGGCUUAUUGCAUAUUGCACAACUUCUUCUGGCGUCCAUUGACAAUAGGCCGGUCACAAAGUACCCCCCAGGUGUCACCACCAGCGAUCAAUUCUAAUCUGCGCCAUAACCAGGCAGUAAGUGUUCAAUUUCCUUGCAAUUUCUCCUCCUGUCACCACCGCCCUAGAAGACACAGAACAUUAUCAUUUUCCAUCAACGGCGCUAUAUGAGAUCUUUUUUCGGUUCAAGUUGUAGUUUUUAUUAGUUACAUUUUGGAGCAAAUGUAAGUAUUUGAUUGCUUUUUAUUCUACAAUACCAUUCACUGUGCAUAAUUAAAAUUUGAUAACUUUAGUUUAAAGGGGUACUCUGGCGCUUAGACAUCUUAUCCCCUAUCCAAAAAGAAUAGGGGAUAAGAUGCCUGAUCGCAGGAGUCCAGCCGCUGGGGACCCCCGUGAU